rnacentral:rRNA from 1 species
AACGAACGCUGGCGGCAGGCUUAACACAUGCAAGUCGAGCGCCCCGCAAGGGGAGCGGCAGACGGGUGAGUAACGCGUGGGAAUCUACCCAUCUCUACGGAAUAACGCAUGGAAACGUGUGCUAAUACCGUAUACGUCCUUCGGGAGAAAGAUUUAUCGGAGAUGGAUGAGCCUGCGUUGGAUUAGCUAGUUGGUGGGGUAAAGGCCUACCAAGGCGACGAUCCAUAGCUGGUCUGAGAGGAUGAUCAGCCACACUGGGGCUGAGACACGGCCCAGACUCCGACGGAGGGUAGCAGUGGGAAAUAUUGGACAAUGGGCGCAAGCCUGAUCCAGCCAUGCCGCGUGAGAGAUGAAGGCCCUAGGGUUGUAAAGCUCUUUCACCGGUGAAGAUAAUGACGGUAACCGGAGAAGAAGCCCCGGCUAACUCUGUGCCAGCCGCCGCAGUAACAC